rnacentral:rRNA from 2 species
UAGAGUUUGAUCAUGGCUCAGACGAACGCUGGCGGCGUGCUUAACACAUGCAAGUCGAACGAUGAUGCCCAGCUUGCUGGGCGGAUUAGUGGCGAACGGGUGAGUAAUACGUGAGUAACCUGCCCUUGACUCUGGGAUAAGCCUGGGAAACUGGGUCUAAUACUGGAUACUACCUCUUACCGCAUGGUGGGUGGUGGAAAGGGUUUUACUGGUUUUGGAUGGGCUCACGGCCUAUCAGCUUGUUGGUGGGGUAAUGGCUCACCAAGGCGACGACGGGUAGCCGGCCUGAGAGGGUGACCGGCCACACUGGGACUGAGACACGGCCCAGACUCCUACGGGAGGCAGCAGUGGGGAAUAUUGCACAACGGGCGGAAGCCUGAUGCAGCGACGCCGCGUGAGGGAUGACGGCCUUCGGGUUGUAAACCUCUUUCAGUAGGGAAGAAGCGAGAGUGACGGUACCUGCAGAAGAAGCGCCGGCUAACUACGUGCCAGCAGCCGCGGUAAUACGUAGGGCGCAAGCGUUGUCCGGAAUUAUUGGGCGUAAAGAGCUCGUAGGCGGUUUGUCGCGUCUGCUGUGAAAGCCCGGGGCUCAACCCCGGGUCUGCAGUGGGUACGGGCAGACUAGAGUGCAGUAGGGGAGACUGGAAUUCCUGGUGUAGCGGUGAAAUGCGCAGAUAUCAGGAGGAACACCGAUGGCGAAGGCAGGUCUCUGGGCUGUUACUGACGCUGAGGAGCGAAAGCAUGGGGAGCGAACAGGAUUAGAUACCCUGGUAGUCCAUGCCGUAAACGUUGGGCACUAGGUGUGGGGGACAUUCCACGUUUUCCGCGCCGUAGCUAACGCAUUAAGUGCCCCGCCUGGGGAGUACGGCCGCAAGGCUAAAACUCAAAGGAAUUGACGGGGGCCCGCACAAGCGGCGGAGCAUGCGGAUUAAUUCGAUGCAACGCGAAGAACCUUACCAAGGCUUGACAUUCACCGGACCGCCCCAGAGAUGGGGUUUCCCUUCGGGGCUGGUGGACAGGUGGUGCAUGGUUGUCGUCAGCUCGUGUCGUGAGAUGUUGGGUUAAGUCCCGCAACGAGCGCAACCCUCGUUCUAUGUUGCCAGCACGUGAUGGUGGGGACUCAUAGGAGACUGCCGGGGUCAACUCGGAGGAAGGUGGGGAUGACGUCAAAUCAUCAUGCCCCUUAUGUCUUGGGCUUCACGCAUGCUACAAUGGCCGGUAUAAAGGGUUGCGAUACUGUGAGGUGGAGCUAAUCCCAAAAAGCCGGUCUCAGUUCGGAUUGAGGUCUGCAACUCGACCUCAUGAAGUCGGAGUCGCUAGUAAUCGCAGAUCAGCAACGCUGCGGUGAAUACGUUCCCGGGCCUUGUACACACCGCCCGUCAAGUCACGAAAGUUGGUAACACCCGAAGCCGGUGGCCUAACCCCUUGUGGGAGGGAGCCGUCGAAGGUGGGACUGGCGAUUGGGACUAAGUCGUAACAAGGUAACC